rnacentral:lncRNA from 1 species
AAGCUGAAAACAGCUUUUGGGAGGAAGCUCCAAUUUGGAGCUUUUGGGAGGAAGCUGUUUCAGCUUUUUCGGAAAGCUGUAUUUUUGACAAAAAUGCCCAUAUUAAAAUAACAUAAUUACACAGUUUGUCCCUUUAUAAACCUAAAAAUCUGCUGGAGCCAAGAACCCUAACCGUCAGACUCCCUUCCAUAAGAAAAGGUAUUUUUCUUUUCAAUUUUUGUAUGCAUCUCUUGAACCACAUUUUAGAAGAAAA